GGGUUGUGAGGUUAAGCGACUAAGCGUACACGGUGGAUGCCCUGGCAGUCAGAGGCGAUGAAGGACGUGCUAAUCUGCGAUAAGCGCCGGUAAGGUGAUAUGAACCGUUAUAACCGGCGAUUUCCGAAUGGGGAAACCCAGUGUGAUUCGUCACACUAUCAUUAACUGAAUCCAUAGGUUAAUGAGGCGAACCGGGGGAACUGAAACAUCUAAGUACCCCGAGGAAAAGAAAUCAACCGAGAUUCCCCCAGUAGCGGCGAGCGAACGGGGAGGAGCCCAGAGCCUGAAUCAGCAUGUGUGUUAGUGGAAGCGUCUGGAAAGGCGCGCGAUACAGGGUGACAGCCCCGUACACAAAAGCGCAUGUGCUGUGAGCUCGAUGAGUAGGGCGGGACACGUGGUAUCCUGUCUGAAUAUGGGGGGACCAUCCUCCAAGGCUAAAUACUCCUGACUGACCGAUAGUGAACCAGUACCGUGAGGGAAAGGCGAAAAGAACCCCGGCGAGGGGAGUGAAAAAGAACCUGAAACCGUGUACGUACAAGCAGUGGGAGCACCCUUCGGGGUGUGACUGCGUACCUUUUGUAUAAUGGGUCAGCGACUUAUAUUCUGUAGCAAGGUUAACCGUAUAGGGGAGCCGGAGGGAAACCGAGUCUUAAUUGGGCGUUAAGUUGCAGGGUAUAGACCCGAAACCCGGUGAUCUAGCCAUGGGCAGGUUGAAGGUUGGGUAACACUAACUGGAGGACCGAACCGACUAAUGUUGAAAAAUUAGCGGAUGACCUGUGGCUGGGGGUGAAAGGCCAAUCAAACCGGGAGAUAGCUGGUUCUCCCCGAAAGCUAUUUAGGUAGCGCCUCGUGAAUUCAUCUCCGGGGGUAGAGCACUGUUUCGGCUAGGGGGCCAUCCCGGCUUACCAACCCGAUGCAAACUGCGAAUACCGGAGAAUGUUAUCACGGGAGACACACGGCGGGUGCUAACGUCCGUCGUGAAGAGGGAAACAACCCAGACCGCCAGCUAAGGUCCCAAAGUCAUGGUUAAGUGGGAAACGAUGUGGGAAGGCCCAGACAGCCAGGAUGUUGGCUUAGAAGCAGCCAUCAUUUAAAGAAAGCGUAAUAGCUCACUGGUCGAGUCGGCCUGCGCGGAAGAUGUAACGGGGCUAAACCAUGCACCGAAGCUGCGGCAGCGAACGUAUCACCCAAGACAACUUUACGGAGUUGACGAUUGACGGAGCGAAGCGACGUCAAAGCGUUCAUUAAAGUCGAGUUGGCUUAGGGAUACGUUCGUUGGGUAGGGGAGCGUUCUGUAAGCCUGUGAAGGUGUGUCGUGAGGCAUGCUGGAGGUAUCAGAAGUGCGAAUGCUGACAUAAGUAACGAUAAAGCGGGUGAAAAGCCCGCUCGCCGGAAGACCAAGGGUUCCUGUCCAACGUUAAUCGGGGCAGGGUGAGUCGACCCCUAAGGCGAGGCCGAAAGGCGUAGUCGAUGGGAAACGGGUUAAUAUUCCCGUACUUGGUGUUACUGCGAAGGGGGGACGGAGAAGGCUAUGUUGGCCGGGCGACGGUUGUCCCGGUUUAAGCGUGUAGGUGUGUGUUCCAGGUAAAUCCGGUU
rnacentral:rRNA from 3 species